rnacentral:lncRNA from 10 species
GAAUCCAUGCUUCCCUGGGAGCGCUUGACACCACCUGGAUAUCCCGUUGAGGCUGAGGGCACCUGUGGGUGUCCCAGAGAGCACCCACUUGCUUUUGUGGGCAGGACUGCCUCUCUCCUCUCCCAGGGACACCAAGGCUGAACAGGCUCCAGCCAAGCAGUUCCUCUGGGGAAGAUCAGUCCUUAGCAAAAGUGUCCUUCCUUUCCUUGUCAAUAUGUAGUCUGGGGGCAAUGGCUGACCUCAAACCCCUAAUUGAUGGUUGCCUGGUCUCUCUGAUUCUCUUUUCAUCCUCAUACCUUUGUGGCUAACAUCUCAUUCCUUUGCCUCAAUAUCUUCGGUAUUGUGUAGAAGACAGACCAUGGGCUUAAAAUAAGUUCUGGAUCUGAAUCUUGGGCCCACUCAUCGUAAGACAUUUAACUUCUGAGAGCUGCAAUUGUUCCAUCUGCAAAAUGUGGAGAAUUAUUCCUUUGAAUCUGAAUCCAAGGCACCUCUUAAAAUAGGUGAGUAUUGGCGAUGGCUCAUGGCAGGCGAGGGGGUGUCUCAAGAUUCCCUUCUGGCCCAUUCAUAUGACCCAUCUUCAUGGAGCCCCUUUACUGUAUAUUGGAAAGACAAAUGUGGUAAGAGUGAAAAAUUACUGAUCCUACCCUCUAGUAACAGUUUCCCAUAGAGAGGCAACUGUCUUUGGAAUAAUAGUGUGGUAAGCCACUGGGAUAGAGGGGGAGGGUGCAUAUAGGAGUCCAAGCCACAGGAAUGAUGUGUUAAGUUGCCAUGCAUGAGAACAUGAAAAUUUGGUUUUUACUCAUUGGAGGGCUGGGAAGGGAGGAUCAGAGGAGAAGAGAGGGAGAGAGAGGGCAGUCAGAGGGUGUGAGGCUGGGGACCACAAUGGGCUGAUGUGGUCAAGAUCUUUUCUCUAGGGGGCUGGGGUGGCUGAAGAAUUUCUAAGAAUGAGGCUUCCUACUCCUUUGUCUCAUUAUGUGUGAGAUGUUGCAAUGUGGCAUGCCUCUGUCUGUCUCUUUACUAUAAAACAUUUUCAGUUAACCCACCUCCCUCUGCAAUGCUUCCUGUGAAAUUGUAAAAAUGGAAGUCUAGUGGUUUGCCACUUCAGGUUCCAGAGUUAAAGAGAAAAGUGAGCAGGAGCUUAAUGUCAGUGGUGAUCAGGAGAAUGUGAGCCCACUGGGAGCUGGCAGACAUCUUGUAGGGGAGAGCUUUGAACUUCUGGGUGAGGAAAUUGUGUUUGUACCAGUUAUGAUUGCAAUUUUUGACAAGUAAGAGGAAAAACCUCCAAAGAGAGGUUUGAACAAUCAAGGGGCUGGUACAGUGUCUGGAAGUUGUCACCAGGGUCCCAGGUUCCUUUUCACUUGCUGUUCUACCUUUGUGUGCAGCUUCUGUCCUCUUGGUUGCAUGAUGGCUGCUCCUCCUCCAGACAUCUCGCCCAUGUUCCAGGAAAGAAGAACAGGGAGGGGAAAAAAGGACAGAUGAAUGAAUGUAUCCUCUUUUGAAAAGCUUUUCUGGGAGUGCCAUCCAGUGACUUCUGCCACAUAUGGGUCACGUGGCCACACUUCGUG